rnacentral:rRNA from 1 species
CACGUAGGGGGCAAGCGUUUGUCCGGAUUUAUUGGACGUAAAGAGCUCGUAGGCGGCUCAGUAAGUCGGGUGUGAAACCUCCAGGCUCAACCUGGAGACGCCACCUGAUACUGCUGUGGCUAGAGUCCGGUAGGGGAGCGUGGAAUUCCUGGUGUAGCGGUGAAAUGCGCAGAUAUCAGGAGGAACACCAGCGGCGAAGGCGGCGCUCUGGGCCGGAACUGACGCUGAGGAGCGAAAGCGUGGGUAGCAACAGGG